UUUUUUUUUUUUUUUUUCUGGAAAAAGUCUUUUAUCACUUAAAAUUUAACACUUUAGCACCAUAGUAAUCCCUUCUUCCAAGUUCUUGAGGUAAAUACCCAAUUUAUCAUAAAGGAUAUUCAUUAACUACAAGAUGUCCGGUUGGUUGAUUGUCGAUGUUUAGGGUAUCCAAAUAAAAAUAAAGGCAUAGCUGAGCCAUCUGCCCGAGCACGAGGCGGCAUUAGUACAAGUAUAGAAUUCUCUUUAAUUUUGUGCAAUACUUAUAUCAGACAUGAAAUGCAUUAGUAUAAAUAUAGAAUUUGUACCUGAUACUCGAUGUUCAUACCGGACACUUGAUCUGGGACGAGGAUGACUACUACACACCAUGAUAAGGCAUAGGUUGAUACAAGGUCCGGGUGGAAAGAUACAAUGUUUUACUACUUCCCCUCACUACACUAUUAUUGUUUAUAUUCAACAAACGAACAAACAAAAAAAUUGAUAUGAGCUCUAUAUAAAUUGUUUAAUAAAAAAAUACAUAAGCAACCUCAUCUACACUUCUUGCAUUUUGUAGCUGAAAUUAAGAAUAUAUCUACGAGGAAUAUGAAAAUUGAAGAUGGCAAAAGCAAGUAACCACUGACACCCAUUGUCGUUUUACUCGUUGUCUUGUGCUUGGACACCAUUUGUCUCUUCUGCUGGGGAGCUUGGACUCUGUC
rnacentral:lncRNA from 1 species